GCUGUUGUUGUGAUUUUGAGCCAAGUUUUGGGCAGCUUUGAGGUCUAGUGCUGCUGUUAUUUAUAAUGCAAAUAGUUGCUAUGUUUUUCCAAAGUCGGAGUGCUGUACUUUGAUGCAAUGAGCUGCUAUAAUUGGGGACAAUCAUCUACUGUUGUCGUUGCAAGUAUUGAGGCAGAUUGUCGUCAUUUUCUUGAGCUAAAAGUGUCAUAUUCCAUCGCGAACAGUUGUUUCAUUUCGUGAAAAUGGCUGUUGUGUGUUUUGCUGCAUUUUAUGAGGCAAAACAGAUGCUAUAAUUGAUGUCCCAAUGCUACAGUUAUGAUGCAACAACUGCUGCAUAUCAAGAUGGUUAGGUAGUUGGAAUGUGCUUAACUUUAAGCUGUUGUUUGCUGCUAUAUUCCGACUCAUCUCUGUGGUAUUUCGGGUCAACUCGUGGUCUCACAUUGAUGAAAAUAGUGGCUGUCCUCUCAAAGUUUUAAUGCUAUCCUUGGUGCUACUUUUGACU